rnacentral:rRNA from 1 species
UUACCGCGGCCGGAGUGGUGCUCAUUAUUAUUGAGCCUAAAGCGUCCGUAGCUGGCCGGGCAAAUCUCCGGGUAAAUCGGGCCGCUCAACGGUCCGAAUUCCGGAGACACUGCUCGGCUUGGGAUCGGGAGAGGGUGAAGGUACUCCCGGGGUAGGGGUAAAAUCCUGUAAUCCUGGGGGGACCACCAGUGGCGAAGGCGUUCACCUAGAACGAAUCCGACAGUGAGGGACGAAGCCCUAGGGCGCAAACGGGAUUAGAUACCCCGGUAGUCUAGGGUGUAAACGCUGCAGACUUGGUGUUGGGGGUCCUGCGUGGGCUCCCAGUGCCGGAGCGAAGGUGUUGAGUCUGCCGCUUGGGGAGUACGGUCGCAAGACUGAAACUUAAAGGAAUUGGCGGGAGAGCACCGCAACGGGAGGAGCGUGCGGUUCAAUUGGAUUCAACGCCGGAAAACUCACCGGAGGCGACGGAGGGAUGAAAGCCAGGCUGAAGACCUUGCCCGAUUCUCCGAGAGGUGGUGCAUGGCCGUCGUCAGUUCGUACCGUAAGGCGUUCUGUUAAGUCAGAUAACGAACGAGACCCUCGCCGUUAGUCGCGAUCUUACAAGCGAUUGUAGGAGCACACUAGCGGGAUCGCUGCCGUUAAGGCAGAGGAAGGAGAGGUCUACGGUAGGUCCGUAUGCCCCGAAUCUUCCGGGCAACACGCGCGCUACAAAGGUGGGGACAAUGGGACCCGACCUCGAAAGGGGGAGGCAAUCCUGAAACCCCAUCGUAGUCUGGAUCGAGGGCUGUAACUCGCCCUCGUGAAAAUGGAUUCCGUAGUAAUCGCGGGUCAACAUCCCGCGGUGAAUGUGCCCCUGCUCUU